UACUAUGUAGCUCAGUUGGUUAGAGCGUUGCACCGGAAUUGCAAGGCCGCAAGUUUGAUUCUUGCCAGGGACC